CCUACGGGAGGCAGCAGUGAGGAAUAUUGGUCAAUGGACGAGAGUCUGACCCAGCCAAGUAGCGUGAAGGAUGACUGCCCUCUGGGUUGUAAACUUCUUUUAUAUGGGAAUCACAUGUUCCACGUGUGGGAUUUUGUAUGUACCCUAUGACUAAGGAUCGGCUAACUCCGUGCCAGCCGCCGCGGUAAUACGGAGGAUCCAAGCGUUACCCUGAUUUCUUGGGGUUAAAGGGAGCGUAGGUGGAUUGUUAAGUCAGUUGUGAAAGUUUGCGGCUCAACCGUAAAAUUGCAGUUGACACUGGCAGUCGUGAGUACAGUAGAGGUGGGCGGAAUUCGAGGUGUAGCGGUGAAAUGCGUAGAUAUCACGAAGAACUCCGAUUGCGAAGGCAGUUCACUGGACUGCAACUGACACUGAGGCUCGAAAGUGUGGGUAUCAAACAGGAUUAGAUACCCGAGUAGUC
rnacentral:rRNA from 1 species